AACCGUGGUAAUUCUAUGGCUAAUACAUGCGCAAAUGUCCUUUUUCGCAAGGAAGAGGAUAGUGUUUAUUAGAUACAGAACCAAUACACCAGUUUAAUAACCUGGUGUGAAAAAGGUGAUUCAUAGUAACCGAACGGAUCGCAUUAUGGUCAUUAUUUUUAUAAUGGCUGGCGAUAGAUCAUUCAAGUUUCUGACCUAUCAGCUUUCGACGGUAGUGUAUUGGACUACCGUGGCAGUGACGGGUAACGGGGAAUUAGGGUUCGAUUCCGGAGAGGGAGCCUGAGAAACGGCUACCACAUCUAAGGAAGGCAGCAGGCGCGCAAAUUACCCAAUCCUGACUCAGGGAGGUAGUGCCAAGAAAUAACAACACUGGAAAUUUUAUUUCUAGUGAUGGGAAUGAUGGGAUUUUAAACCCCUUUCAGAGUAACAAUUGGAGGGCAAGUCUGGUGCCAGCAGCCGCGGUAAUUCCAGCUCCAAUAGCGUAUAUUAAAGUUGUUGCAGUUAAAAAGCUCGUAGUUGGAUAUCUGCUGGAAGCAAUCAGUCCGCCCUAUUUGUAGGGUGUGCACUUGAUGAAUUCUGGCA
rnacentral:rRNA from 1 species